rnacentral:lncRNA from 1 species
GCCACGCAGGUUCCAGGCGUUCUGAGUUCCGCUGGCCCUUCGGCCAGUCCUCAUAGGUGGGCUUCACAGUCCCUGGGAGUCGUCAGUUAUUUGCCCUUCUCUUCCUGAAAAUGUUUCUCUGAGAGCUGACAGAAUGACACUUGGUCCCCAGCUACUGCAGCCUCCCUGUCCUAAAUCAUAACCGUUCUGGACCUGCAUCCUACUCAGUAAACCACAGAUUCUGCCAUGGAGACCUUGUAUGAGCUAUGACCUCAUCCCUAUUUUGCAGGGAACCUUAGAAAGCUGGGAUGCUGCCAUGUCGUGGGGGAGUUGGUUGUUUCAUUGAAGUCCUGGCUGUAUGGAACUCUGGAGCCUCUUAGACCUGGCGAGAUGUUGGCAGAGCAGAGGACAAAGUUAAGUUUAGAAAAAGUUUUUUUUCUCAGGUUCUGGUACUUGAACAGAGGAUCAUAAGAUGAGGAAGGGGUUCCUGGGGGAGGGGGGUCCUAAGAUGAGGGAAGGGAAUCCCAGGACCGGGGAAAGACUGAAUAAUGUCUAGAGUGAAUCUGACCUGUUUGGGUGGGUCCAGUUCGGUUCCCUGGAACUUACAAGAAUCCUUUGAGUUCGUGAAAACAAAAGGCGGCCUCACCUAUAAGGUAUUUGAAGUCGGGAGAGGAAGAGGGCUUGGAGAAUACAUACAGUCAGAAAGUUUUAUUAAUCUCCUUGUGAAAUCAGCACUCUACUUCGAGAUACAGGAUUGCACUUCAGACUUGCCACCGCCCUUUUAAAGUUCAUCAUGCUUUUCUUUGCAUCAGACAGGGUUUCUCGGUGGCUUUGGAGGAUGCCCUGGAACUAGCUCUUGAGACCAUCUCAAACUCAUAGAGAUCUGCCUGCUUCUGCCUCCCGAGUACUGGGACUAAAGGCAUGCGCCACUAAUGCCCAUCACUGCUGUUUUCUGCCUGAGUCAGAAACUUUUCUUCCCCACUUAAUAAAGGAUCUCUCUGUGAAGAAAAACAAAAAGACUAUGUCUCUCUAUAUAAAGUUUUAUAACUAUUCACUUAUUUUGCGCGUAGGAGGCAUUGAGCACUCUCUACCUACAAUCUUGCUGUAGGAAUGCUGUGAUUACAGAUGGCACCACCACAG